rnacentral:rRNA from 1 species
UGGGGAAUCUUGCACAAUGGGGGCAACCCUGAUGCAGCGACGCCGCGUGAGCGAUGAAGCCCUUCGGGGCGUAAAGCUCUUUCGACCGGAACGAUAAUGACGGUACCCGCAGAAGAAGCCCCGGCUAACUUCGUGCCAGCAGCCGCGGUAAUACGAAGGGGGCUAGCGUUGCUCGGAAUUACUGGGCGUAAAGCGCACGUAGGCGGCUUGUUAAGUCGGGGGUGAAAUCCCGGAGCUCAACUUCGGAACUGCCUUCGAUACUGGCAAGCUCGAGUCCGGGAGAGGUGAGUGGAACUGCGAGUGUAGAGGUGAAAUUCGUAGAGAUUCGCAAGAACACCAGUGGCGAAGGCGGCUCACUGGCCCGGUACUGACGCUGAGGUGCGAAAGCGUGGGGAGCAAACA